UACGUAGGGGGCAAGCGUUGUCCGGAAUCAUUGGGCGUAAAGAGCGUGUAGGCGGUUCGGUAAGUCGGCUGUGAAAGUCCAGGGCUCAACCCUGGAAUGCGGGUGGAUACUGCCGGGCUAGAGUCCGGAAGAGGCGAGUGGAAUUCCUGGUGUAGCGGUGGAAUGCGCAGAUAUCAGGAGGAACACCAAUAGCGAAGGCAGCUCGCUGGGACGGUACUGACGCUAAGGCGCGAAAGCGUGGGGAGCAAACA
rnacentral:rRNA from 1 species